UGGGCUGGUCGAAAGACUUGGGUCCACCGAACGACGGGGAAUUACCCC
rnacentral:sRNA from 1 species